rnacentral:rRNA from 1 species
GGAAGAGCUCAAAUUUGUAAUCUGGCGUCCUCAGGGCGUCCGAGUUGUAAUCUAUAGAGACGUUUUCCGUGCCGGACCGUGUCCAAGUCCCUUGGAACAGGGUAUCAAAGAGGGUGACAAUCCCGUACUUGACACGACGACCGGUGCUCUGUGAUACGUUUUCUACGAGUCGAGUUGUUUGGGAAUGCAGCUCAAAAUGGGUGGUAAAUUCCAUCUAAAGCUAAAUAUAGGCGAGAGACCGAUAGCGAACAAGUACCGUGAGGGAAAGAUGAAAAGCACUUUGGAAAGAGAGUUAAACAGUAUGUGAAAUUGUUGAAAGGGAAACGAUUGAAGUCAGUCAUGUCCAUUGGAUUCAGCUGGUUCUGCCAGUGUAUUUCCUUUGGACGGGUCAACAUCAGUUUGAGCCGGCGGAU